UGGAUUCGCUAGUAAUCGCGCAUCAGCCAUGGCGCGGUGAAUACGUUCCCGGGCCUUGUACACACCGCCCGUCAAGCCAUGGGAGCCGGGAGUGCCUGAAGUCCGUGACCGCGAGGAGCGGCCUAGGGUAAGACCGGUGACUGGGGCUAAGUCGUAACAAGGUAAC
rnacentral:rRNA from 1 species